CGCGUCGUUUAUUUUUUUUUUUUUUUCUAAUUAAAUUUUAACCUACAAGGUCAUUGUCGGAGAUGUAAAAUUGCGUAUUGGAGUCAACAGAAUGACACUUAGUAUUUUUUAUCAACAUUGUCACUUUUUUUAGAUAUUUAUUGAAGAAUUAUUUUAUGUUUGAUGAUCCAGUCUACCUGAUCACUCUCAAUACUACUCCAGCUCCAGAGUCCAGCGAUUCCACGGUACCUUGGUGCGAUGUGUUCGAGGUCGCUUGACGGGCAGCUGGUAACUCCUUGCAUCUUGCAUCUUACAUUGAAGAGUACAGAGGCGUUUGGACCGCAGACCACACCGAGCCACGCACGAUAAUAACCCAGUGCUUGAAGUUG